rnacentral:misc_RNA from 1 species
GUGAAUCAUCGAAUUUUUGAACGCAAAUUGCACUCUCCUCGGAGAGUAUGCCUGUUUGAGUGUCAGCCUCUAAAAAAUCGACAUCAUUGCUGUUUCGCUGUAAAGUUCGUCGGAAAUUGUGUCAUCUUCAAUCUUUUGCUUUCAGCGACUUAAAAAUUUCUUUUUGAUUAUGUGUACGUUUCUAAGAUUUAUUUCUUUACACAUUUAAUGUAUCGUUUUAUUAGACGUUGCCUUCAUAUCGUAUCGCGUCCAUAA